rnacentral:lncRNA from 1 species
CCAACGCGGCACAUUGCAAGGAGCAGGUGACAGCAGGAGGGGAGCAGUGAGGGCCCCAGCAGCGAGAGGUUUAGGGUGUAGUAGGCAGGUCUGCAUUCCGGGCCACGCAAGCUCGGGCCGCACAGCCCCACGGUCUGGCAGGAUCACUCAGCGCGGCGGAUCGGAGGUGACUGCGGGAGGGGGAGCACCCUGCGUGGGGACUGAGACGCGGUAGGCAGAGACCUAGAGGGGAGGAGGGGCGCGCGCGCUUAGCGAUCCUAAGUGCUUCAGCGCCUUUAAGGCCCAGGCCUCAGGCUUUGCCCCCACUCAUUGUACUGUGAGGCUCCGAAGAACUGGGCUAUGGACGCCUUCGGUGCUCAGAGAUCUGAAUCUGGUCUUGAGCAGGGCGGCCCGUUUUAGGGCCACGCAUAAAUGAGAGACGGCAGGGGCCCUGGGCGGGGUUGCGGGAGGGAGAUAGGAAGGCUCUUUUCCACUCGCACAUCUUUCCUCAGGCUCAGGUAAACAGGUCAUAUUCUCUGCGAUCUUGAGAACGUCACUGAGUCUUUUGUACUCCGUGACCGGUCCUGAGGGCCAGUGAUAACCUCCGAUCAUCGCCUCUCCCCAUUCCCCCAUGUGGGGGAUGGGAGGAAAUGAAGAGUAGCAAGCUGGAGUGCUCACAAGGCUUUUCAUUGUGUCACCCCCCCCC